rnacentral:rRNA from 1 species
UACGGAGGGUGCGAGCGUUGUCCGGAAUCAUUGGGCGUAAAGGGCGCGUAGGUGGCCCGGUCAGUUCGUGGUGAAAGCGCGGGGCUCAACCCUGCGUCGGCCAUGAAUACUGCCGCGGCUGGAGCACUGUAGAGGCAGGCGGAAUUCCGGGUGUAGCGGUGGAAUGCGUAGAUAUCAGGAGGAACACCAAUAGCGAAGGCAGCUCGCUGGGACGUUACUGACACUGAGGCGCGAAAGCGUGGGGAGCGAACAGG